rnacentral:rRNA from 1 species
UUGACGGUACCCUACUAGGAAGGAGCCGCUAACUUCGUGCCAGAAGCGUCGGUAAUACGGGGGCUCCAAGCGUUAUCCGGUGUUAUUGGGCGUAAAGAGUCGUGUAGGUGGUUGGGUAAGUUAUCUUUCAAAUAUCUUUGCUUAACAAAGAGGAGGGGGAUAAUACUGCUCGACUAGAAUUUUCUCAAGGGAGAUCGGAACUGAGGGAGGAGUAGUGAAAUGCGUUGAUACCCUCGGGAACACCAGUGGCGUAGGCGGAUCUCUGGGAGAAGAUUGACACUGAGACACGAAAGCUAGGGGAGCGAAGCAGAUUAGAGACCUGCGUAGUCCUAGCCGUAAACGCAUGCUUGCUAGCUGCAUGAAUCUACCUUCGGGUGGUAUCGUGUGGCGAAGGUAACCCGUUAAGCAAGCCGCCUGGAAAGUACGGCCGCAAGGCUGAAAUUCAAAGGAAUUGGCGGGGAGGCACACAACCAGUGGAACAUGUGGUUUAAUUCGAGACUAACCGAAGAACCUCACCAGGGUUUGACAUGUAGCUGCACGUCUUAAGAAAUUAAGACUCUCUUGAAGGUGCUACACAGGUGCUGCAUGGCUGUCGUCAGCUCGUUCCGUGAGGAGUGCCCUUAAGUGGGACAACGAGCGCAACCCCUAUUACAUGUUAGAAAUGACAUGUAAGACUGCCUUGCCAUUUGGCGGGGAGGAAGGAGGGGCAGACGUCAAGUCCGCAUGGUCCUUAUGCCCUGGGCUACACACAUGUUACAAUGAGUACGGCAAUGAGUCUGUCGCGAGCACGUAAGUGUAAGCUAAUCUCUUAAAUGUACUCUCAGUGGGGAUUGAGGUCUGCAACUCGACCUCAUGAACACGGAAUUGGUAGUAAUCGCGGGUCAGCUAUACCGCGGUGAUACGUUCUUGCCUCUUGCACACACCGCCCGUCAAACCAGCAAAGU